rnacentral:rRNA from 1 species
CCUACGGGAGGCAGCAGUGGGGAAUUUUGGACAAUGGGCGCAAGCCUGAUCCAGCCAUGCCGCGUGAGUGAAGAAGGCCUUCGGGUUGUAAAGCUCUUUCGGCGGGGAAGAAAUUGCUUGGGUUAAUACCCUGAGUAGAUGACGGUACCCGAAUAAGAAGCACCGGCUAACUACGUGCCAGCAGCCGCGGUAAUACGUAGGGUGCGAGCGUUAAUCGGAAUUACUGGGCGUAAAGCGUGCGCAGGCGGUUUUGUAAGUCAGAUGUGAAAUCCCCGGGCUCAACCUGGGAACUGCAUUUGAGACUGCAAGACUGGAGUUUGGCAGAGGGGGGUGGAAUUCCACGUGUAGCAGUGAAAUGCGUAGAGAUGUGGAGGAACACCGAUGGCGAAGGCAGCCCCCUGGGCCAAUACUGACGCUCAUGCACGAAAGCGUGGGGAGCAAACAGGAUUAGAUACCCUGGUAGUCCACGCCCUAAACGAUGUCAACUAGGUGUUGGGAGGGUUAAACCUUUUAGUGCCGUAGCUAACGCGUGAAGUGACCGCCCUGG